rnacentral:lncRNA from 1 species
AAUAUUAUUGGUAACUUAAAAGAAUAUUGCAGUAAUAAUGUUGAGUAGUGGACAUAGAUUAUAGUUGCUGUAAAACUGUAACAACUUCAACCAUUUACAUUCGAACUUUGCUCGAAUAUUCCCUAAGCGAAGCCGACCGAAGUAUGAAUAUAUUAGCAAGGAAUUUUUGGAAAUUCUACAAUUGUCGUAUGAAAUAAAAAACCUAUAAGUAAGGAUCCGACAACAAUUUUUGUAAGAAAAACAAAAUAAUCAAAACGGUAGAAGACAGAGACGUUAUUUGACGUAAACAAUUUUGUAAGAGUCAUAUCAUUUGAUGCUAUCGUAGCCAUAGCUGUAGUUUAUUAUAACUUUGGUUUAGUACAUAUGAAGUCUAAGAAAAGUUCCAAAUUACGUAUAGCUUUAAGUUUUUGAUAUAUGUUUGGAACUGUUUCAAGAAAAGAAAAGACCGUAAGCUAUAUUGAUAUGGAUAAACGCUUGUAACAAAAUCUACUUAGUUCUUUAUAAAUUAAAGAAAGACACAUUUCUACAUCAUUUCCCUGGCGGAAAAAUUUUCUACAAAAUUCUAAAAAACUACAAAAAUUUACAAAAGUGUUCCAAUUCUAGCACAUUUUUCUGUAGAAAUUACAAAAAAAUGCUAGAAUUGGAACACUUUUGUAAAUUUUUGUAGUUUUUUAAGAAUUGUGUAAAAAUUUUUCCGCUAGGGUGGAUUGGGCAAUACAACUAUAUUUAGCAUAUAUGAAGAAAAGUUAUCCUGUAGGCCUAUUCUGUAAUUCAUAACGACAGUUCGGUAUCAUUAUGUUGUCGUUGCGCAGUUUUUUUGUCAUAUAUAAUAUGUGCGCAAUGACAAUGUAAUGAUAUCGACACUGUCGUUAAGAGUUACAGAAUAGGUCUACUAAUCCUAUAUAUAUCAACUAUUGUUGAUGUUAAAGAAGAAGAAUCGAAUUUUAGAAUUAUCUUACAAAGAGAGAGACUACAUUUUACAACUUUACGGAAUAUAGCAGUUCAAUAUUCUCUACAACCGAAAGACAGGCAAGACUUUGUGAUACACAUGUAUAACUUCUUAAAGAAGCACUUGUCUUGUUGGAAACGAUGUCUGAGGGAAAACCAUUUCGCGAAGACAUUCUCCAUUGAGUUUUAACUGUAUUCGAAUUAUAUAGAUAUCUUCUGAUAAACCAUCGUUUUGUCGAAGUUAAAAAUUAUAUGGCUACUGCAGAUUACGUGACGUAUAAAUUUUCCGAGGACUUAUUGGAAACUCUAAAUCAACAAGACAAUAAAUCAAAAUUGUGUUAUGUCUAUUUGUCCAAUAAUUACGAUUAUAUUCGUGGCAUUAUUGUUGGAUUUUGGAGUACCUACAAAGUUUCACUUUUACGUUUUUGAUAGAAGCAAUUGUAAAAAAACAUAGGUAAAUGCAAGAUAGAUACUUCAGGAACUGAAAAAGAAUUAACAAAUUUUCUAAUAUUUUUCUAACUUAAAAGAAGAAACUGAAUAUAUAACUAAUCAGAUCCUAAAUACAUGUGUAUUAAAUCUCGAAGAUGCCAAAUCCAUUUUUGAAAAAAUUAUAAAGCACCUUAAUUGAUGAAGCAAAAACAUAUCUUACUGCCAUCUGUGAUAUUAAAAAUUAUGCACAAGUAAUACUUGACGUUUCGGCGGCACAUAAAUAUUUAGCAGGUUUUUAAACAAUCCAAAGAAAACCAAUUAGAACUACAUAAACAGCGAGCACAGUAUUUACAGGAUGUUUGUAAGGAUUUUCAUACAAUUAAUAUAGGUGAAGAAUUUCAUAUUUAUAAACGGAUCUUGUGCGAAAUGGCAACUUCUUGUUCCGCGGUUAUACAUUUAACACUCAAGGAAGCAUAACUAUGAAAUUGAAGUAUUGGAGAAAAUUGAUCGAUUUACGAGGCUGAUUAAUUCAUAUCUAAAGAAUUAGAACUUUAGGAAAAUAUUUAGAAAAAAAAUCUUUAAUGUUUGCAUAUUUUUUUAUUUGUCACGUUAAGAAAUACACAUUUUUAUAUUUCUUUAUUGCAUAGAAGUCGUGUAAGAAAUAUGAGUCAUGAUGAACAAAUGUCUCCCUAUUAAUUAUUAGUAGCUGAUAUUAAAUUUAUCUGAGAAUAUCUCUUAAAUGUAUCCUCUCAUGAAAUAAUAUUAGAUAUAAUAAAAAUAGAUAGCCCACAUAUAUAUAUAGGAAGAUAUUUUUUAGAUUUUUAAAAGAUAUGUCAUGUGUCUUGAGAUGAAAAGAUAUUUUUCAGCAAUCUGAAAGAUCUUAUGCAACAUUUGAGAUAUGAUUUCAAAUAUCUGUAAGAUACCUCAAUUUUGAUGUAAUGUCAAAUAUCUGUGAGAUAUUUCAAUUUUGUGGAAUUAUUACACGUACAUUAUUAGUUA